UACGUAGGGGGCAAGCGUUGUCCGGAUUUAUUGGGCGUAAAGCGCUCGCAGGCGGUCCGAUGCCUCCCGCGUGAAAGACCCCGGCUCAACUGGGGGAGGUCGUGCGAUACGGUCGGACUCGAGGCCAGUAGGGGGAUGCGGAAUUCCGGGUGUAGUGGUGGAAUGCGUAGAGAUCCGGAGGAACACCAAAGGCGAAGGCAGUGUCCUGGGGAGUACCUGACGCUCAGGUGCGAAAGCCAGGGGAGCGAACGGG
rnacentral:rRNA from 1 species